GGUUCUAUGGCGCAAUUGGUUAGCGCGUCCGGCUGUUAAGCCCCGACGUUGGGUUCUCGCAUACCGGGAGGUUGAAAGUUCGAGUCUUUCUAGUACCG